GAGCCCAACCCAAAAGACUAAUCCAAUAGGUGGGAUGACCCCAAUGACUUAAGAACCCUACAAUCCCAUAAGUGUAGUCAACGUGGGAUCAUAACACUGUAUUUCCUAUAGUUCUAGGCAGGUAGGUUGUAUUUUCCGACAAAAUUUUGUUUGGCUGAUGAGAAACCUGAGGAAAAUAAUAGAAAGAAGAGAAAUUGGAGUUGGUGGGGUGAAUUAAAUAGUCAAUUUUCUAUUCUAAUUACUUUAGAGUUCAAUGAAUUCUUUGAAUUAAGGUCAGCAAUUUGCAGUUCCAUUGAAAUCAAAGGCUUUGGGAAAUUAAACCCUAAUUGAAAUUGUAUCUUGUCUACCUAAUUUCGUGGUUGUCUUGUCUGUUUAGUGAAAUACUGAAAUUUAUAAGAGUUUGGUGAGUUGAAGUGAAAUUCUUCAGAUUAAAAGUUAUCAGCUUCGGUUUCGUCUCUUACGUUUUCUCGGCAUUUAUGUGCCCGUUGGAUUGGAGAACAGGAUGACUGCAAAGGUUGGCGCUGCAUCCGCAGUCGAACCUCGCACUGUUGAGAUGUCUGGUACAACGAUGACACCUGCAUCAUCAGCUGGUACACAAAAGGUCUCCAUGUUUGCUGCCAGGGCUGGAUUUGUUAUACCGAAAAACAAGCUAUCGGGUUCACUUGUGCCUGUCUUUCGCGGAAGUAAAACCCUAGGAGCUGGUGAUGCGCUUAGUGGAGAAAGUAAGAAACAGAUUCAGAGGAAAACAAAAUGGGGCCCUGAUCUCACCCAGGAUGCUUCUGUCAAAAAGGGAAGAGCUUUAGCUUAUCAGACUCGGGUGGAUCAAAUUACACAAAAGGCUGAAAUCUGGAAUGUUAGAGGAUGAGAAUGAUGAGGACCUACUAUCAGCACCUCAAGAUCUGCACCACAAAUCCAAAUCCUCUAAGCAUGAAAUUGACAAAAAAGUUGGAACUUGAAAAGCGGGAAGCCAUAGGUGCGUUUGACAGCUUUCUUAGAUUAUAUGGUUAUACCUUCUUGUAUGUUAUAUUAUGGAUUGCAUGAUAUUGUUUUCUUGACGAUAUUCAGGUGAGAUAUUAAAAGCUAAAUCCAAGCUACAAGGCCCCACCUGAUUAUAAACCUUUGUUGAAAGAGGCUACAGUCCCUUUUCCUCUAAGUUUAUCUUCUGGUUCUGCAAUUCUCUGCAACUCUUUUCUAAUUAACUGUUUAGGUAAUAUAAGUUAUUUUAUCAUGGUGUGAAAGUGUUCUGUCCAUCUUAGUUGUAUUGAUUUAAAAUGAAACUUACCCAAGAAGAAUAUGUAUGUGGAAUUUUCAAUCUGGACUCAUAAGUGGCAGUCUUAUCGUUCACUUCUACAAUGAUAAGUAUGGACCUUAAAUCUGAACAGGUUGGCCAUAAUUUGGGGUUGAGGGUGAAGAAUGGGCCACAGAGUACUACAUGAAUUCGAAAUAGCUGGUUAAAGCUUUGCAACUUAUGGGUACAAUCCCUAUUAAUCUGGUGGAAUAGUUUAGAUUUACUCAUUUACUUUAAGCAUAUUUAGCAUUGCUUUUUCGGUUGGUUCCUUCCGUACUGGUGUUGGUUUGAAUCCUGAUAAUAUUGAUCGUAAGUUCACAUAAUAAGAAUUAUUUGGUUGCUUUAAGAACUUUCACCAAGCGGCUAGGUUGUUUAGAGCUCCUGUUGCGAAAACAGUCCAUCUAGAAAGAUGGCUGUUGUUGCCCAUGUUUUACCUCCCUGAACCCACAUUGCGAGAGCCACAUGCAUUCAACUGCCUUUUUAGGAACUUCUAGUAUGAGUUGACAUGUCAUUAUUUCACACAGAGAUGAACGGACUGUGGAUACAACCAUUUUAUUACUAAGAGUAAAGAUUGCAACGGGUUGCUAUGUUUGUUGACCAUUACUUUUACAAGGUUUCCUUUGGCCAGGGGUGGAAGGUGGGGACCUAAAGACAGGAGCAUAUAUUAUCCAGUUUCAUGGUUUGCUGAAUCGGCCAGUAUUUGAAUUCUGUUGCUUAGAUGUUUUUAAAUGCUUUUCAGAUGAAGGAAUAUCCUAAAUACAAUUUUGUUGGCCUGAUAUAUGGUCCUGGAAGUGAUAACCAGAAACAAUUAGAAAAGGAAACUGGAGCCAAAAUUCAAGUCUAUGGUACCAAAGCUGGGACAGGACAUAAGGCUAAAUAAAACCAUCUGAUGGGAGUGAAAUCCAGGGUGAAUAUGAAAACCUAUACGUUCAUGUAUCAGCUGACACAUUACAGAUAGUAGAUGCAUUGCUGUAAUUGAACUCUUAGUCACCUCUGUAUCAGGAAAUCUGGCAGCGGUUAGCAAUAUAGGUGCUUCAGUUUCUGGUGAUAAUGCUCAUGUUCCCAGUGAAGUCCAGGACACUACCACCUCUAAUAUGGUUCCGACUACUGUGGUAAAUCAUGGAAUGGUACAACCAUUGCCAAACUUGGCACAAACUUCACUGGAUGGGCAGUUUCGGUACCCUGGUCCAUUUUUCUCGAGCGGCGCAUCUUCCGCUCCCAUGAAUAUGCCUGGCUUCACUCGGCUGAAUUCUUCGAGACCAAUCCUCAACAAUCCUUCCCAUCUUUCAACAUCACCUUUCGACCCUGCAUACCUGCCUUCGUCAUUUGGGCUUCAGCCGUCUCUUGUUUGCCCUAGACAAAAUCCACCAACAACACAAUUUUUGCCGCAUACAUAUAUG